rnacentral:rRNA from 1 species
AAGUCGUAACAAGGUCUCCGUUGGUGAACCAGCGGAGGGAUCAUUACUGAGUACUACACUCUCUACCCUUUGUGAACUAUUAUACCUGUUGCUUCGGCGGCGCCCGCAAGGGUGCCCGCCGGUCUCAUCAGAAUCUCUGUUUUCGAACCCGACGAUACUUCUGAGUGUUCUUAGCGAACUGUCAAAACUUUUAACAACGGAUCUCUUGGCUCCAGCAUCGAUGAAGAACGCAGCGAAACGCGAUAUGUAAUGUGAAUUGCAGAAUUCAGUGAAUCAUCGAAUCUUUGAGACGCACAUGGCGCCUUCCAGUAUCCUGGGAGGCAUGCCUGUCCGAGCGUCGUUUCAACCCUCGAGCCCCUGUGGCCCGGCGUUGGGGAUCUGCCACGGCAGGCCCCUAAAACCAGUGGCGGACCCGAAGGGCCCUCUCCUUUGCGCAGUAGCAUUCGCCUCGCAUCGGGAGUCCUCGGCGUCCUGCCUCUAAACCCCCACAAGCCCGCUUCGGCGGCACCAAGGUUGACCUCGGAUCAGGUAGGAAUACCCGCUGAAACUUAA